rnacentral:rRNA from 1 species
GAUCAUGGCUCAGGAUGAACGCUGGCGGCGUGCUUAACACAUGCAAGUCGAGCGAAGCGGAUCUUCGGAAGUUUUCGGAUGGAAGAGGAUUUGACUUAGCGGCGGACGGGUGAGUAACGCGUGGGUAACCUGCCUUACACUGGGGGAUAACAGUUAGAAAUGACUGCUAAUACCGCAUAAGCGCACAGGGCCGCAUGGUCCGGUGUGAAAAACUCCGGUGGUGUAAGAUGGACCCGCGU